AAGCUGUUAGCUAACCAACAGCUCGUCACCAGUUUAUUUCCAAUUUUAAACGAAUUACUUCAAGUGUUCGUCAACAUGUUUAGCUAACAUUUUCCGUUGUUCAUCUAUGGCUAACAAUUUUAAAUUUUUAUGCAUAUUUGUAGCUCACAAUUUCAAUUCUUUAGCAAUAGUUUUAGGCAGCUAUGUAGCUCUUUAUCCACCUAAACUUGUCUUAACUGUUAAUCCAUACUGUUAGCUAAUAAUUUCUGCUGUUUAUUUACUUAGCUAACGAUUCCCAAUUAUUUAUCCAUACUCUUAGCUAGCUAAUUUAGCUGUUAAGCCAUACUGUUAGCAAACAAUUUCUAUAGUUUUUAUUGAAGCAUCCAAAUACUUUAAAGUCUCAGUUUAAGGAAAUAAUCCAGGAGUCACUGUGGAUCAUUUUCUUCACAUGAACCCCUGAAUAAAUCUAGAAAUCAGUCCAAAACCUAAGAGAAUUAGGACUCAGUAAAUGAUAUUUAUCUCCAAUAUAUAUUUAUUUCUCUUUACUUGUAUCUAAAGCUGUUCAGAUGAUGACCCUGGAUGAUCUGAUUGAUUAAAAAAACCCACACAAAUCUCCAAAAGUUUAAAGAAAUCACCACUAAAACCUCAACAAGAUCAACUGACACGGUGUUUUUAAGCAAACCUCAUAUUCAAAUGACUAAUUUCUCUUCAUCUAGUAAUGCAGUUGGGACCUUUAGGUGCUCUAACUGGGUGGUUUUGGGUGACUAGCUCCUCCCACCGACCAGCAGCAGGGGAACUGGUUCAGCUGCAGGUUUACCAGCAGCUCUGGAGGUCGGAAACCUGAAAUUAACCAGAGAGGAGCUGCAGCACAGUGCACGAGACGUGGAAGUAAUAAAAUGGGACUAAACAGUGAACUCUGGUGUCUGUGAGAUGGGAUGUAACGAGUCCAGAUGCUGGUCUUUGUCUCAUUCGGACAAAUCGAAGGAGACCGAGCACAGAGACGAUGAAACGGAGGAGUUUCUGAAGCAUAUAAAGGAGGAUCGAUGUGUCUCCAGGUCAGUGGAUCCUCCUCUGGUCAGCAUCCAGACGCUGGACUUUGCCAGCAGGAUGUCGGAGGAUAUCGUGGCUCAGGCUCUGCAGCUCUGCUGGCAGGUGGAGCAUCAACACCAAGAGCUGCCUUUUAUCGACAGCGACUCUGAUUAUAUCAUCUGAAACAACAGAGUUUUCCCAUGGAGUCGGACUGAACUUGCUGAAAAUGUGGCAGGAAUCUGUGUCAUUUCACAACUUUACCACACAUGUGAGUCACUGUUUGUGUGACUGUUGUGACAUUUUGCAUUAAAAACUGGAAUCAGCUUUUUUCCCAACAAAAUACAGGUAAUUUAUCACUGACAACUGGACACCUUCUUCCAGUUUUUGUUGUACUUUGCAGCUGAGCAGUAUGCAGAUAAUCGUUUCUUCUAUUUUUAUCCAGCAUUUGCAACGAAUAUAAGAUUGUUAACUGUUAACUUUUCUGCUCCAAACUGUUCAGUACAUUUCAAAAAUAUAAUUGUAAAUUCUGUUGUCAGAUGAGUUUAACUAAUCUUUGCAAUAUUGAUUAGUUUUAUUAGCCCUAAACCCAAAUACCACUGGUAUACAUAAUGUUAUAUUAAUAAUAAUGUCAUUCCUAUAAUUAGUAAAUGGGUAUAUCUUGGUUUAUUUUGGUUAUUUUGUAGUACAUUUCCUAAAUGUUUGCACUAUCUUUCCUGCAGGAACAAUGCAAAUUCCCCCACUGUGGGAAUAAUCAGUCUGUCAGUCUGGCAUCAAAUCAGAUGAUCUGCCCUGCUGGAGGCGGAGCUAAACCACACCUGUUACCUGAACUGACUUUGCGUCUCUGCCCUGAGGUGUAUGCUGCAGCGUCACGCUCAGGGCAGAGGGCAAAAUAAGAGGUUCUGGCUUCUAUGUUUACUCCCUGGGAACCAAGCAUGAAAGGUUCCACCCAGAACUCUAUGUGCUCUUAGAUGCUUCCUCAUAAUAUGAACCAAAACACUACACCUGUCUUGUUUCUCCUCUAAGUCAACAUGAAUUAUUCUUUAAAUAUGUCAGACAUGUAAGACCCGUCUUAGUGUUUUUAAAAUUUAGCAUUUUAUUCAUGUGAAGUCAUUAUCUUGAAUAAUUAAGUUAUACUUUUAUGAAAUUUGUGUAUUUUUUAUGUGGUAAUUAAUGGGCAAAAAAAGAGAAAAAAAAAUCAUUAAAAGUCACUUUGGCUCUGACAUGAAUUGAAAGAUUGUGUCACAGUAAAUUGUAAAGCUGCUAAAAACAUAGAACACUGCAUUCAGUGUGGAAAUAAAAAAAGAGAGAAACAUUUCA